AUACAGCUAGAGAAGCAGCUGGUCAUGGGGAAUUGCCUGAUCAAAGUACGAUCCAAUAUGCCAACUCUUGAGAAUCCAACUGAACCUGCAAUGUCAGACAAUAACAGGCCCAUGGUGGUAUCCCUCUAUAACUACCCCUCCCAAGGUCCCUUGGAGUCCAGAAUCCACAUAGGGGAGAGGCUCACUGUGUUAUUAGACGAUGGGGAUUUUUGGAUGGUGCGAUCCACAACAACAGGCAAUGAGAGUUAUAUCCCCAGCAACUACACUGCCAAAGUAAUU